UCGAGGAUCUUUAGCAAUGGGCGCAAGCCUGACUAUGCGACGCCGCGUGAGGGAUGAAGGUUUUCGGAUCGUAAACCUCUUUCGAUGGGAAAGAAAAUACUUGACACGAAUAGUGUCAAGUACUGACGGUACCCAGAGAAGAAGCCACGGCCAACUCCGUGCCAGCAGCCGCGGUAAUACGGAGGUGGCGAGCGUUACUCGGAUUCAUUGGGUGUAAAGGGCAGGUAGGCGGCUAUACAUGUCGAGGGUGAAAUACUUGAGCUUAACUCAAGAACUGCCUUCGAAACUGUAUGGCUUGAGGCCAGAAGAGGAGAACGGAAUUCCCGGUGUAAGGGUGAAAUCUGUAGAUAUCGGGAGGAACACCAGUAGCGAAAGCGGUUCUCUGGUCUGGCCCUGACGC
rnacentral:rRNA from 1 species